UUGGCUUAGUUAGUCUGAGACUAUGGAGUCCUGGAGUAAGCUUAAUGAGAACACUUGGUUCAAGCCUCAUUAGACUAAGUGGAAGCACAGGCUGUUGGUCCAAUUGUGCUCAUGAAAACCUGAAAUGGAGUAUGAAACACCAUUGUUGCAGUGAAUUUUGAGACAACACAAUGGCAGAGGCAAAGAGAAUUCGCUCCAAAAAUUAUAGUGAGCAUGAAACAACACUACUAAAACUAAUUGUAUCGAACCAUCCAGUCAUUGAAAGCAAAAUCCCUACUGCUGCUAUUGAACAGAAGAAAAGAAGUGCUUGGACUGCAAUUGGCAAUGCAUUCAAUGCAAAUGAAGAUGUCACCACAAGAACAGUACAACAACUGCAGGUUCUAUGGAAGAACAUUAAACUGGGAUUAAAAAAAGAGAAUGCAGCAAGCAGAAGAGAGCGAUUUAUUACAGGUGGUGGACCACCAAUAAAGGACACAUGAUGAAUUGGGUGACUUGCUGUCUGGUAUAAUAGAGCACCAGCAACCUCUGGAUGGUAUUCCAGACAAUGACCAUUUGGACAGUGAACAUGGAGAACUGAGCACAAAUGAGGAAACCAAUCAAGAGCCAGUUCACAACGAGCUUGAACCCUCCACAUCUGCUAUGGCACCCCUGGGAGAUUAAGCUGCUACCAUCCAACAGAGACCAAAAAAGAUAACUAUGCAUGAAAAGUUAGCCAGAGAAUUUCAUGAGCGUAAAAUUGAAUAUUUAAAAGAAGAACAUGAAAUGAAAAUGAGAAUUCUAGAGGUUGAACUGGAUAUGAAAUUGGGAGAGAGGGCUAUGCUCCAAAAAAUAAUUCUGCAUACCAGUAGCCAUGGUUAAUAUGAGGAAUUGUGAAAAAUAAAAAUAAAUGUAUUGUCAUUUGGCAUGUGAGUGUGAGUGAGUAUUAAUCAUCACAAACAACAUUUUAACCAGCCUUGGUUCACUCGUUUAAUUUUGAUACAUUAUUGUAAUUUUGUACAG